UCCAGGGCUACACACGCUACAAUGGCCGGUACAAUAGGUAGCAAGACCGCGAGGUGGAGCCAAUCCUUAAAAGCCGGUCUCAGUUCAGAUUGCAGGCUGCAACCCGCCUGCAUGAAGUCGGAGUUGCUAGUAACCGCGCGUCAGCAAUAGUGCGGUGAAUACGUUCCCGGGCCUU
rnacentral:rRNA from 1 species